GGGGAGAUGGCUCAGUAGGUAGGAGCACUUGCUUUACAAGCAGGAGAACCUGAGUUCAAAUAUCCCAAGUUCCCA
rfam:Cricetulus griseus cell line CHO-K1, whole genome shotgun sequence.